UUGAAAGCUCUGGGACAAAAGCCCAAAUUAUCCGCACAAGAGAUAGAUAGAUAUAUGUAAAAUGAGUCAUGGUAAUGCAUUUGUUCCACAAUGCCCUACCAACGUGCCUCACACAUGCGUUGGAGGGACCAGCUCUAGCAGGGCCAGAGGGGAGCUCAGUUUCCAUACCCAGUCAGUUUUUGGCCCUU
rnacentral:sRNA from 1 species